GUGUCAGCAGCCGCGGUAAUACGAAGGGGGCUAGCGUUGUUCGGAAUUACUGGGCGUAAAGGGCGCGUAGGCGGUUGCUCAAGUCAGGCGUGAAAUCCCCGGGCUCAACCUGGGAAUUGCGCUUGAGACUGGGCGGCUUGAGUUCGGGAGAGGUGAGUGGAAUUCCCAGUGUAGAGGUGAAAUUCGUAGAUAUUGGGAAGAACACCGGUGGCGAAGGCGGCUCACUGGACCGACACUGACGCUGAGGCGCGAAAGCGUGGGGAGCAAACAGGAUUAGAAACCCCCGUAGUCC
rnacentral:rRNA from 1 species